AUGGAAUACCAGGCCAUUGUCUCCGCCCUUGAUGUCUCCCCCGUUCCUGUCACCGUUGAUCAACUCUUCUCUCUUGUGUCCAAUUAUGACCAGAGGAUGGAGAUGUUUCAUGGCACAGGGUCCGGCGCGUUCAAGUCCUCGGCGAACUCUGCCUCUCGUGGUCGCCAGGGAAGGGGCGGCGGUGGAGGCUACCGCAACCAGCAGAAGGGCGGCGGCGGAUCGCACAACGGCGGCGGCCACUACGGUGGAGGCGGCUACAGCGCCAACCCUAGCGGCGGCUAUGGUACUGGCGGCGGCGGCCAUGGCCCUGGCGGCGGCUAUGGUCCUGGUGGUGGCGGCCACGGAUCUGGUGGUGGCGGCUACUACCAGAACAACCAAGGUGGAGGCUACAAUGGUGGCGGUGGCUACCAAAACCAAGGCAACUCCAAUCGGGGCAACUCCAACAACAACAGAAACCGCCUCCCCUUUCAAGGCUAUGAUGGCUAUGAGGGGAGAUGCCAAAUUUGUAAGAAAACAAAUCACUUAGCCAAAGAUUGUGAUUGGCGUUAUGCCGAUAACACUUCCCAAAAGAAAAAGUUUGCAGCUGCAGCUGAUACUUCAUAG
rnacentral:rRNA from 1 species